CGGGACGGGGUGGAGUAAUGUCUGGGAAACUGCCUGAUGGAGGGGGAUAACUACUGGAAACGGUAGCUAAUACCGCAUAACGUCGCAAGACCAAAGAGGGGGACCGUUAGGGCCUCUUGCCAUCGGAUGUGCCCAGAUGGGAUUAGCUAGUAGGUGGGGUAACGGCUCACCUAGGCGACGAUCCCUAGCUGGUCUGAGAGGAUGACCAGCCACACUGGAACUGAGACACGGUCCAG
rnacentral:rRNA from 1 species